GUUUAAUGAUGGUGAAAAACGCAGUGUCUUUACUCUGAAUAUGAGAUUAUUCACAUCGAUGUUACGUUGAGUCUACAAUGUUUGAGCAGGAAGGGCCUUUGCGAUGAUGUAACACAACAUUGUCCAUUUCAAGAAUCCUCUCUACAACAACCCUGUAAGAUGGUCAUCCAUCCUCUCCAAAGAGACCUUGAGGAAGUGAACUAUUAUUGGUUCCUGACAAGAUAUAAACAGAGGCUACAGUCAAGUCUAUACGUCAGUAUCUAACGGACUCACACCUCAAAUGGAGGACUUUGAAGCCAGCGAUAAACAGCACCAGACUUUUGGCUCUCUUGGCAUUAGGAGCUACACUAGGGAACUGGAUGCAAUCACCUUUUAAAAAUUAUUGUUUACUUCAUUCCUAUGUAGAGGGAUAUGACCACAAGGUCAUUUCACCAUAUUAUCAUCACUGAGAUCACAACUAAUUUUCAUGGAAGGACCAUCAGGUGGAGAGAUAAAGGCUUCCUGAGGAUACAGCAAUUCAGCGGAGACCUGGAGAUAAGAAGGAGGCCCCGAACUAGCAAGAGCAUGGACACAGAGAUGAGAAAAUGGCCUGGACUGAGAUGCGGUAGAGGAUAAAACGUCAGAAACAAGGACAGGUAGAGUGGCUGGCGAGGGAGAUGGAAAACAAGAAGGGAGUGGUGUUCAGGAAUGAACUGAAGAGUGUUUCAGGGAGAGAGAUCAUCUGCGUGGAUGGCUACUGGGGAGAAGGGUCAAUGAAAACAGGAAAGCCCCUGUUGGGUUAUAUGGAAGGAGGACCUGGUAUAUAUCUGAAUCCCCAGUACUUGGCAUAUUAAAAAACUUAGUAUAUGCUUAU
rnacentral:lncRNA from 1 species